rnacentral:rRNA from 1 species
UACGUAGGGUGCGAGCGUUGUUCGGAGUUACUGGGCGUAAAGGGUGUGUAGGCGGUUUUCUAAGUUUGGUGUGAAAUCUCCCGGCUCAACCGGGAGGGUGCGCCGAAAACUGGGAGACUAGAGUGCGGGAUGGGAGAGUAGAAUUCCUGGUGUAGCGGUGAAAUGCGUAGAUAUCAGGAGGAAUACCGGUGGUGUAGACGGCUCUCUGGACCGCCACUGACGCUGAGACACGAAAGCGUGGGUAGCAAACAGG